GAAAGCAUUUUUAUAUCUAUGGUUUAUGAAAGAUUAAUUCAUUUAAAUUUAUUUCGAUAACAUCUGACACUUAUAAGAGACUAGUAAUUAUGAAAAGAAGUCCCAAAGCAACCUGAAAAGAACUUCAUUUCCCUUUGAAAUUUCAAGGGCAGCCCUACGCAUUGAAAUUUCAGAUAUCUUUAUUAAUUUAUUGGAGGAGAAGAAUAAGUCUCCAACGCUACCAAUAAGAUGGUCAGUAGAGAAUUUUGUUUGUUUUGCUUCUUUCUUAUAUAAGAUUCAAGACUAUAAUGUUUUUGUAACUUAUAAGCAGAAGGGUUUCAAGUAUUUGCUUUGUUAAAGAGACAAAAACAAGGAAAUCAAAUGUGCACCCUAGAGAAGAGAGGCAACAUCUACAUCCUAACUCUGACCGGCUCAGGCGAGCACCGGCUCAAUCCUACUCUCAUCGACUCCAUCAGGUCCGCUCUGCGUAGACUCCAUGCUGAGCCAACCUCUCCUUGCUCAGCUCUCAUCACCACUGCCCAUGGCAAAUUCUUCUCCAAUGGCUUUGACCUUGCCUGGGCACAAUCCUCUCAACAACGUCUUCAACUCAUGGAUUCAAAACUCAAAUUACUUGCAUCAGAUUUCAUAUCUCUUCCUAUGCCAACGAUAGCUGCAGUCACAGGCCAUGCAUCAGCAGCUGGAAUGAUCUUGGCACUGUGUCAUGACUAUGUCCUCAUGAAGAAAGACAGAGGGUUUCUCUACAUGAGCGAGAUGGAUAUUAGACUUGUUAUACCAGAAUGGUUCAUGGCUUUAUUGAAGUGCAAGACAGGGGAUCCUAACGUCAGGCGUGAGGUUAUCAUGACGGCCGCCAAAUUAACGGCUGAAAUGGCGGUGGUGAGAGGGAUUGUGCACUCUGCACAUGAUAGCGCAGAGGAGACGGUUGAUGCAGCAGUUAGGUUGGGAGAGGAGCUGGUGAAAAGAGGUUGGGAUGGUGAUGUAUAUGGGAAGAAUAGAAUGGUGCUUCUGAGCGAAGUUUCAAAGAAAAUUGAGCUGGAUCAUGAUACGGUAGAGGAGGAGAUGAAGACCAAGUCAAAACUGUAAUGGUGGUUGCUGAGAGAUGCCAAAUAGGGGAGUCAAAGUUGUAAUGCUUGGUAAAAUAUCGUAUUAAAUAAAUGCACUUACUAUUCUGCAUAAUUUCCCGGAGUUCCAUGUAAAAUUCUUGUUUAUAGUGAAUUCUUGAACUUGAUGAGACUCUUAUAUAAAAUAAAUAAAAAUAUUUUUAAUUUUAC
rnacentral:misc_RNA from 1 species